GACGAACCGUGCGAACGUUGUUCGGAUUCACUGGGCUUAAAGGGCGCGUAGGCGGCUUGCCAAGUCGGGGGUGAAAUCUUUCGGCUCAACCGGAAAACAGCUUCCGAUACUGGCGAGCUUGAGUGGGGUAGGGGCGACUGGAACUUCCGGUGGAGCGGUGAAAUGCGUAGAUAUCGGAAGGAACGCCGGUGGCGAAAGCGAGUCGCUGGACCCCUCCUGACGCUGAUGCGCGAAAGCCAGGGGAGCAAACGGG
rnacentral:rRNA from 1 species